CUGCUAUUGAGUGUCAUUCAGAACCACGCCCGGCCCAGACCCACACUGCGCCUUGGUGCCGUUACAUUGGAAUAGUGCGACUAGGGCCAGCACAGUCACUCUGUUGUGAAACAAAUGCAAUAGAAAGUCACCCCGAAGAGAUACACUCACAUCUCCAUUCUGACUGUCCGGACAUAAUAAGGCUGUCCAGAUUCUAAAGUGUGGCAUAUGUAUUAAUUAUAACUGCACAGUUCAAACAUGAGCUAUUUUGCAUAGGAGUAAUUAGAAUCACAAUUGACCUUUUGUAGAAAUGUAGGGUUAUGCUUAAUUCUAGCCACCAGCAUUCAAAACAUUUAUUUAAAUACUAUUCCUACUUUCAAGCUCAUAACUUAAACAUUUGAAAGCCUCCCAUUUGCUUCCCUGCUAUUCUGCAGUAGCUGCUCGCCAUGCCCCGCACCAGGCAGGGGACCGCUGCCCUCGCUGGCCAGCACCGCGACGCUCCCAGCAGCCCCCGACAGCAGCCUCCCCCGGCGCUGCUGAGACAAAGCAGCAGCCAGCAGGCACCUCUGCAGGAGGGCACGGGGAAACCCUCUUGAUUUCAGCUGCCCGUAAAGGCUACCAGAUAUCCUGCAAGCCCUUCCCCGUGCCAAGAAAAAUACCAGCGAUUUUGAGGCUAGCGCUGCAGAUGGAACUCAGGUCUAUUCCCCGUGCAGCGGUGAGGACAGUACAUCACCAGGGACAGACAGAGCUGAUGUUAGAGCACUCCAAGAAAUGAUGAGGGCCCAGAAGGCAGUAUGGAGAGAGGCCAUUCGUACAGGGAGGAGAAAAGCCUCUUUUCUGUUUACUUUGAGAAAGCCUUGUAUUGACUUCCAUUUAUCUUCCAGUAAGUCCUUGUCCAACGCAGCACGGAACAUAAGCUGUUCCAAGGGCAGGUGCUCCUUAAUGAGAGAACUGAAAACUCCUUUUCUUUUUCUUCUUCUCCAUUCAUUAAAAGGAAAAGAGAAGAGGGGGAAAAAAUAAAAGAGUUAGAAAAUGGCAUGAAAGCAUAUUACCAGUAAAUUGUUUCCACUGUGUUUGUGACUGUUCUUAAUGUUUUAUGAAUAUGCUAAGAAAUUUGCUCAGGCAUUUUUCCUUGGGCACUCCAGUUAAUUACUUAUUCAGAGUGCUUCUACUCCGUUCCUUGCAAAAUGUGUUGUGCAUUAAUUCUGAUUAUGUACAAAAACCCACCUGCAAGGAAAAACUCUGAAUCAGUAAUGCUGAUAAAAUGAGCAGCUCUCCUGGGGCUCUACUGAGAAACAGGAUACUGGACAGAAUUAGAAUCUUGUAGCUAAGGCUAUUCAUAAUGUCAUUAACAUAAAGGCAAUUAAAUGAGUUUUUAACCUACAACCCUUUAUUGUUAUUAAUGAACAUUAGAAAAACACAGGAGAUAAAAUUGGUAAUUAUCCCUGCACCAAGCUCUGCAAUAAUGUGUUUAAAUAUAAAAACAAAACAAAUGAUUAUUGUUAGUAUUUUCAGUAGCAGAAGCCCCAAGGAGCAGCUCAGUCACAUUUAAUCACAUGGUACUACACCAAGAGGGUUAAUUAAACGAGGGCUUUACCUUCAGCACGCUUGGUUAUUCUGUUUAAUAUGGAAUCAACAAACAGCAGCGUGAAUCUAUGAAAUAUUCCAGGCUGUGACUUCUACCUUCGGGUUAGCCACCUUUUCCGAAAUGGAGAGCACCUUCAUUUCCUUCAGGACAAGUAGCUGCAGUCCUGCAAUCGAGUUUUUACUGUAGCGUGCUUUCAGAACCAAUUCCAGAAACAACUGUAUAAAUCCCACUUCAUAGCCUGGGCUUGCAAUUCUGUAGGAAAGAUUUGGGAGUCUGAGAGAGAUGUACGUUUUAAAGGAGGUAAUAAAUGAGGCUCCAGUACCA
rnacentral:lncRNA from 1 species